GGACGUGGCUCACCGUUAUAACACUUGCUCUGCAUGCAGGAGGUCCCAGGUUCAAUCUCUGGCAUCUCCA